UUCCAAAUAUCUGGGAUGAUCUGAUGGGUUCAGCUUAACUCAAGUGUCCACCUAAGUUCCAGCUGGUCUUGGCCAGGUGGACAGACUUCCACACGAAAAGUAUGGCUCCUGAGUAAAUAUGGAAAUGGAAAGCCAGUUCCCAGUGAAAAAUAAAUUGUAAAUGGGGCAGAUAACCAAAAGUACCUUCUGAUAACUGGGGCAGAGGGCAAGGGACAAGUGGGGAGGGAAAUUUUACUGAAAGAUGAAUAAAUGAAAGGAUAAGAUCUUAUCCUUUGCAUCAGGAUAAGAUGCAAAGGAAAGAUGAGAAAAUGAUGACUUUGAAUGAAAAUGGAAGAAAGAGUUGGAGUCAAUAUCACAAAAGAAUCAUUCAUAAUUUAGUGGGUCAUCUUUCUGCUCAUGGUCCCAAAUGGACUUUGAUCAAGUUCUGCCAAAUACAUAUGCUUCAAAUUAAUUACAUUUUGGAAAUCUUAUCAUAUUCAUCUCAUUAAGUUUCAUAAGUGAUUGGUUUUCAAGAUAUUCAUACAUAUGGUAUACACUUAACAUGAGGAUGAGGAAAUAUGUGAAUUCAACCUAUGAAUAUUUUCACAUUUUCUGUUACUUCCUAUGCACUUAUAAAUCAAGAGUAGCACAAAAACUCACUUCAGAAUACAUUUUGACAUUCUUUCAUCACUGAAUGGAGAAUAGCUUCUUUUUUUUUUCCCCAGCUAAACUUGGGUUUCUGCUGAAGCAGCUGAAGAUCCAAGAUGCUUUAGGCUACAAGCUGAAGUUUGGAAAAAAUUCAACCUGCUGACUUUUAUCCUUUCUUUUGGACAAGAUGGCUGUGGGUAAUUUGGGCCUCUGGCUAUGAAACAUGAACCUGUCCAUCUGCAUUAUUAAUGGAUGCUUGAUGGGAUGAGUUAACAGUGACUUUAGUUUCUUUGCAUAAAGACCAAAAGGAAAUUUCUUGAGAUGGAAAAAGUCAAAUGGAC
rnacentral:lncRNA from 1 species